GAGGAACCUAUAAAAUAUAUAUUAUAUAUAAUUUUUUUGUAACUUCAAAAAGUAUUAUUUUUAAUACAACUUUUGGCCAUGAUUUCAAGUGAUGUUAAACUGGUGCUUCAAACUAUAGCCUAAUUUGCUAGUUUCAGAACAUCUAUAACAAGACUUGCAACUUAUAACAAGACAAGACUUAAGUGUGAAAGUUUUCUAUGUAAUUUUCGGGAAAAAAAGAGUAAGGAGACUUUCUAUUGGGAAUCUAUCACACGAACAGACAAGGUGUAUUGUUAAAAUUCCUAGUGUGAAUUAAUAAAAUAUACUGGCAAAAUGUAAAAUUUAUUGAAACUAUUAGAUACAGACUGUUUUAUAUGUGAUAUAUUUUCAUUUUCCAUUUAAUUUGCAUAAAGAAUCUAAAUCCAUGGGACACUGAUAUCAGAAUGAUGAGCAAAGUCUCGUAAUAAAGCCUGGGAUCUUGGACAUAUAAUUUCAUCCCUUUAUAAAAAAGAGGGUGUUAUAGAUUGUUAUAGAUGAAUUGUGAUAUUGGACUUGUGUGAUUGUGAAUGUGCGUGGAUUACAAAAAUGACAACGCUUCCUAGUUUAGCCUCAUCUGGCCAAAAUGGAAUGGCAGCACUUUAUGAGCUGCAGGUAGUAGAAUUGAUAUUCAUUUGAGGUGUGCUCUUAGAAAAUGGGGUUUAAUACAUGUGGGUAAAGUGUGGUCCCAGACUAGCCCAGGAUAUAUAAUCAGGGACGACACUUUCCGCUUUUAUGAAAUUCUUCGUUAAAAUGAAGUCUCUUCUUAGCAAAAAUCCAGUUUAUGUGGAAAGUGUCGUCCCUGAUUAGCCUGUGCAGACUGCACAGGCUAAUCUGGAAUGACACUUUACGCACAUGCAUUAAACCCCUUUUUCACAGAACAUGAUAUUCAUUUGAAUGUUUUUACUGUUAUGGAGUAAAGACCAUAAAAUUGUAGCAUUUACUAUAUAAAGAUCUGAGCCACUCUCUAGAACAAACGUGAUUAAUGCAUGUAUGUAAAGUAUGGGCCCAGAAUAUCCUAUGAAAUCCACAUAGUUUAAUCAAGGAUGAAAUUUCCGCUUUUAUGGAGUUUUAAGUUUAAGUCUCUUCUAAAAAAUUCAGUCUAGGCAAAAAGUGUUGUCCAUUAUUAGCCCAUGCAGACUGCGCAGGCUAAUCUAAGACAAUAUUUUACACCUAGACAUGCUUGAGACCUGCUCUUGUAGAUGUAUAUCAGUGAAGGUAUGAUGACUUGAUACUCUCUUAGCUCUUGUAGAUGUAUAUCAGUGAAGGUAUGAUGACUUGAUACUCUCUUAGCUCUUGUAGAUGUAUAUCAGUGAAGGUAUGAUGACUUGAUACUCUCUUAGCUCUUGUAGAUGUAUAUCAGUGAAGGUAUGAUGACUUGAUACUCUCUUAGCUCUUGUAGAUGUAUAUCAGUGAAGGUAUGAUGACUUGAUACUCUCUUAGCUCUUGUAGAUGUAUAUCAGUGAAGGUAUGAUGACUUGAUACUCUCUUAGCUCUUGUAGAUGUAUAUCAGCUAAGGUAUUAUGACUUGAUACUCUCUUAGCUCUUGUAGAUGUAUAUCAGUGAAGGUAUGAUGACUUGGUACUCUCUAAUAGCUCUUGUAGAUGUAUAUCAGCGAAGGUAUGAUGACUUGGUACUCUCUAAUAGCUCUUGUAGAUGUAUAUCAGUGAAGGUAUGAUGACUUGAUACUCUCUUAGCUCUUGUAAAUGUUUAUCAGCGAAGGUAUAAGAACUUGGUACUCUCCUUCAAAACACAGAUCAAACUUUAGUGAACUCUUGAAUCAUCAGCAUGCCAUAAGAAUGUUACUAUUUAUCUAAUGGUCCACUCAUGCAUCUAGAUUGGACAACUCUUUGGCAUCAAAUCGUCAAUAUAGAUAAUCUAGGCAUGCAGUGCAUGUAGAUUUUCCAUUGUCAGAUUUUUGUGUCAAGGUCAUGCUAAGAUGUCAAGGUUUAACUUGUCAAUACACAUGUACAGCAGUUUGUCAAGAGUGUAAUUUUAUCAUGAAAUGUUAAAAUAACUUACCAAAAAAUUAUCACCAUGAAGACACUUUAGUGUCUUGUGUAUCCCCUGUCUCAUAACUUCAAAGGUCACGGUCACACUUGGAGGUAAAAACACAAGUUUGGCCAUUGUUUUUGACAAAAGAAGAGUUAAGAGACACAAGUGGAAUUUGGGGGCAUCCAUGCCGUAUGAACACAUGUCUUGUUUCAAUAUUUAACUCCGGCUACAUGAUUGGGAUUCUAUAUUUCCCAUUGUGAAACCUAUUCAGUACUUAAUGACUACAAAAACAUACUUUUUUAUGUUCCUUAAGUAUCAUAAAUUUGCAAAAACUUUUGGAAUGACACUGGAAAACUGCGUUUUAUUAUUAUACACGGAAUAUUAAACUGUGUGUUGUGUUGUUCCAGCGGUUUAACUAGUAUCACACUUAUUCAUUGUGUAACAGCGUACUCUACUCACCCUUCAGGCUACUUAACGCUUUGCAUGCUGGGAAAUUUGUGGUCUGCUAAAAUGUCGUCUGCUGAAUUUCUCAAAUUAGCAUUUACUUAGAUUUUUUUUCAAAGAAUACUAUAAGAAAAGCAAAUAGUUUGGAUCCUGAACGUGGCGUCUCAUCUGGAUUGAAACUGUUUGCAAAAACCUUCAAAAUUCGGUUCCAGCACUGAAAGGGUUAAAUACUUUAUUGCACAGUCAACUUGUAUGAAACAACCCAUUAUUAACUUAUAGUUGAUAAUCUACUU